rnacentral:rRNA from 1 species
CAAUAGAUACCCUGGUAGUCCACGCCCUAAACGAUGUCUACUAGUUGUCGGGUUUUAAUUAACUUGGUAACGCAGCUAACGCGUGAAGUAGACCGCCUGGGGAGUACGGUCGCAAGAUUAAAACUCAAAGGAAUUGACGGGGACCCGCACAAGCGGUGGAUGAUGUGGAUUAAUUCGAUGCAACGCGAAAAACCUUACCUACCCUUGACAUGGAAGGAAUCCUGAAAAGAUUUGGGAGUGCCCGAAAGGGAACCUUCACACAGGUGCUGCAUGGCUGUCGUCAGCUCGUGUCGUGAGAUGUUGGGUUAAGUCCCGCAACGAGCGCAACCCUUGUCAUUAGUUGCUACGCAAGAGCACUCUAAUGAGACUGCCGGUGACAAACCGGAGGAAGGUGGGGAUGACGUCAAGUCCUCAUGGCCCUUAUGGGUAGGGCUUCACACGUCAUACAAUGGUACAUACAGAGGGCCGCCAACCCGCGAGGGGAGCUAAUCCCAGAAAGUGUAUCGUAGUCCGGAUUGUAGUCUGCAACUCGACUACAUGAAGUU